rnacentral:rRNA from 1 species
GACGAACGCUGGCGGCGUGCUUAACACAUGCAAGUCGUACGGUAAGGCCCUUUCGGGGGUACACGAGUGGCGAACGGGUGAGUAACACGUGAGUAACCUGCCCACAACUUUGGGAUAACGCUAGGAAACUGGUGCUAAUUCUGGAUAUGUGCUCCUGCUGCAUGGUGGGGGUUGGAAAGCUCCGGCGGUUGUGGAUGGACUCGCGGCCUAUCAGCUUGUUGGUGGGGUAGUGGCCUACCAAGGCGGCGACGGGUAGCCGGCCUGAGAGGGUGACCGGCCACAUUGGGACUGAGAUACGGCCCAGACUCCUACGGGAGGCAGCAGUGGGGAAUAUUGCACAAUGGGCGCAAGCCUGAUGCAGCAACGCCGCGUGCGGGAUGACGGCCUUCGGGUUGUAAACCGCUUUCAGCAGGGACGAAGCUUUUUGUGACGGUACCUGCAGAAGAAGCACCGGCUAACUACGUG